UUUCCCAAGGCCAGAUGCAAACUUGAAACCGGACGGUUUAAGUGAGAGAGGAGACCACCAGGAGUCUUCAGGCGUGAUCUGAAGGGUGAUCGGAACAGUAAAUGGGUUAGAAUUUUAGAGAGAAGGUAGGGAGGUUUUAGAGAGAAGGAGGAGAGUUUGAGAUUUUCAGAAGGUUGAGAUUGAGGAAGAAGAAGAAGAUUGCAUGCAAAAGUGGCGUCAGAUUUCAUUCCCACCUUAUAUACUGCCUCCGGUCCGAACGGUCGGCCAACUCCAACGUGACACCUGACUUCCACUCCCUGGGGUUUCUCUGCUAUGCUGAUACUGCACGGAUCACGAGGGAAGGGAAUUAAAAGUUUGACAGAGUUUGUCUCCCACUCACUAGGGGAGAACCGGACGGUGACACAUGUACCCCACUAAGGAAGGUA
rnacentral:lncRNA from 1 species